rnacentral:rRNA from 1 species
CAAUGGCGUAUAUUAAAGUUGUUGCAGUUAAAAAGCUCGUAGUCGGAUUUUGGCAUCACGCCGAACUGUCAGCCGAUUGGUUUGUACGGUUUGGCGGGUGCUCUCCUUCCGGAAGCUCGUUCCCUUCUUAGUUGACGGGUUCGAUGGUUCCGGGUCUUUUACUUUGAAAAAAUUAGAGUGUUCAAAGCAGGCCUAUGCUCUGAAUAGGUUAGCAUGGAAUAAUAGAAUAGGACUUUGGUUCUAUUUUGUUGGUUUCUAGGACCGAAGUAAUGAUUAAUAGGGACAGUUGGGGGCAUUCAUAUUCCAAUGUCAGAGGUGAAAUUCUUGGAUUAUCGGAAGAUGAACUUCUGCGAAAGCAUCUGCCAAGGAUGUUUUCAUUGA